UGGGUAACACUAACUGGAGGACCGAACCCACUGUCGUUGAAAAGCCAGGGGAUGACUUGUGGAUAGGGGUGAAAGGCUAAUCAAGCCUGGUGAUAGCUGGUUCUCCCCGAAAGCUAUUUAGGUAGCGCCUCGGACGAAUACCAUAGGGGGUAGAGCACUGUUUCGGCUAGGGGGUCAUCCCGACUUACCAAACCGAUGCAAACUCCGAAUACCUAUGAGUACUAUCCGGGAGACAGACUGCGGGUGCUAACGUCCGUAGUCAAGAGGAAAACAAUCCAGACCGCCAGCUAAGGCCCCAAAAUCAUAGUUAAGUGGGAAACGAUGUGGGAAGGCAUAGACAGCUAGGAGGUUGGCUUAGAAGCAGCCACCCUUUAAAGAAAGCGUAAUAGCUCACUAGUCGAGUCGGCCUGCGCGGAAGAUGUAACGGGGCUAAAACUAUGUGCCGAAGCUGCGGAUGUAUACUUUGUAUACGUGGUAGGGGAGCGUUCUGUAAGCCGAUGAAGGUGUGUUGAGAAGCAUGCUGGAGGUAUCAGAAGUGCGAAUGCUGACGUGAGUAACGACAAAACGGGUGAAAAACCCGUUCGCCGAAAGACCAAGGGUUCCAGUCCAACGUUAAUCGGGGCUGGGUGAGUCGACCCCUAAGGCGAGGCCGAAAGGCGUAGUCGAUGGGAAAAUGGUUAAUAUUCCAUUACUUCUGUGUAAUGCGAUGAGAGGACGGAGAAGGCUAAAUCAGCCUGGCGUUGGUUGUCCAGGUGAAAGGAUGUAGGCAUGUAUCUUAGGCAAAUCCGGGGUACUCUAUGCUGAGAUCUGAUAGCAAGCUGUACUUGUACAGCGAAGUGGUUGAUGCCAUGCUUCCAGGAAAAGUCUCUAAGCUUCAGUUACACAGGAAUCGUACCCGAAACCGACACAGGUGGUCAGGUCGAGUAGACCAAGGCGCUUGAGAGAACUCUGCUGAAGGAACUAGGCAAAAUGGUACCGUAACUUCGGGAGAAGGUACGCUGUUGUUGGUGAUGGAACUCGCUUCCUGAGCUGACGACAGCCGCAGAAACCAGGCCGCUGCAACUGUUUAUUAAAAACAUAGCACUCUGCAAACACGAAAGUGGACGUAUAGGGUGUGAUGCCUGCCCGGUGCUGGAAGGUUAAUUGAUGGGGUUAGCGUAAGCGAAGCUCUUGAUCGAAGCCCCAGUAAACGGCGGCCGUAACUAUAACGGUCCUAAGGUAGCGAAAUUCCUUGUCGGGUAAGUUCCGACCUGCACGAAUGGCAUAAUGAUGGCGGCGCUGUCUCCAGCAGAGGCUCAGUGAAAUCGAAAUCGCUGUGAAGAUGCAGUGUACCCGCGGCUAGACGGAAAGACCCCGUGAACCUUUACUGCAGCUUGACACUGAACUUUGACCUUACUUGUGUAGGAUAGGUGGGAGGCUUUGAAGCUGGAACGCUAGUUCCAGUGGAGCCGUCCUUGAAAUACCACCCUGGUAAUGUUGAGGUUCUAACUCUGUCCCGUGAUCCGGGACGAGGACCGUGUCUGGUGGGUAGUUUGACUGGGGCGGUCUCCUCCUAAAGAGUAACGGAGGAGUACGAAGGUGCGCUCAGCGUGGUCGGAAAUCACGCGUAGAGUAUAAAGGCAAAAGCGCGCUUAACUGCGAGACCCACAAGUCGAGCAGGUACGAAAGUAGGUCUUAGUGAUCCGGUGGUUCUGUAUGGAAGGGCCAUCGCUCAACGGAUAAAAGGUACUCUGGGGAUAACAGGCUGAUACCGCCCAAGAGUUCAUAUCGACGGCGGUGUUUGGCACCUCGAUGUCGGCUCAUCUCAUCCUGGGGCUGAAGCAGGUCCCAAGGGUAUGGCUGUUCGCCAUUUAAAGAGGUACGCGAGCUGGGUUUAGAACGUCGUGAGACAGUUCGGUCCCUAUCUACCGUGGGCGCUGGAAAUUUGAGAGGAUCUGCUCCUAGUACGAGAGGACCAGAGUGGACGAACCUCUGGUGUACCGGUUGUGACGCCAGUCGCAUCGCCGGGUAGCUAUGUUCGGAAGGGAUAACCGCUGAAAGCAUCUAAGCGGGAAGCCUACCUCAAGAUAAGAUUUCCCUAGGACUUUAUGUCCUCUAAAGAGCCGUUCGAGACUAGGACGUUGAUAGGUUGGAUGUGGAAGCAUAGUGAUAUGUGAAGCUGACCAAUACUAAUUGCUCGUGAGGCUUGACUAUACAACACCCAAGCAGUUG
rnacentral:rRNA from 1 species